rnacentral:rRNA from 1 species
ACUACAUACCACUUUAUUGGGUGUAAGUGCAAGCAUUGUGGGAGUUUUAAUACAAGGGAG